GUGGGGAAUUUUGGACAAUGGGCGCAAGCCUGAUCCAGCAAUGCCGCGUGCAGGAAGAAGGCCUUCGGGUUGUAAACUGCUUUUGUACGGAACGAAACGGUCCUGGUUAAUACCUGGGGCUAAUGACGGUACCGUAAGAAUAAGCACCGGCUAACUACGUGCCAGCAGCCGCGGUAAUACGUAGGGUGCGAGCGUUAAUCGGAAUUACUGGGCGUAAAGUGUGCGCAGGCGGUGCUGUAAGACAGGCGUGAAAUCCCCGGGCUCAACCUGGGAAUUGCGCUUGUGACUGCAGUGCUGGAGUACGGCAGAGGGGGAUGGAAUUCCGCGUGUAGCAGUGAAAUGCGUAGAUAUGCGGAGGAACACCGAUGGCGAAGGCAGUCCCCUGGGCCUGUACUGACGCUCAUGCACGAAAGCGUGGGGAGCAAACAGGAUUAGAUACCCGAGUAGUCC
rnacentral:rRNA from 1 species